CGUAUCGACCAACCUACCUAUACGAGGAAGGGAACGUACCGGACGAAGUCGGACUAAUACCGCAUAAAACAGGGACACCGCAUGGUGAUAUUUUGUUAAAGAAAUUCGCUGAUAGAUGGGCAUGCGUUCCAUUAGGUAGUUGGUGAGGUAACGGCUCACCAAGCCGACGAUGGAUAGGGGAACUGAGAGGUUGGUCCCCCACACUGGUACUGAGACACGGACCAGACUCCUACGGGAGGCAGCAGUGAGGAAUAUUGGUCAAUGGGCGAGAGCCUGAACCAGCCAAGUCGCGUGAAAGGAAGAAGGAUCUAUGGUUCGUAAACUUCUUUUGCAGGGGAAUAAAGUGCAGGACGUGUCCUGUUUUGUAUGUACCCUGAGAAUAAGGAUCGGCUAACUCCGUGCCAGCAGCCGC
rnacentral:rRNA from 1 species